rnacentral:rRNA from 1 species
CAUACUGCCGUGAAUACGUUCCCGGGCCUUGUACACACCGCCCGUCACACCAUGAGAGUUGGGGAUACCCGAAGCCUGUGAGCUAACAGUAAUGAAGCAGCAGUCGAAGGUAGAAUCAAUGAUUGGGGUGAAGUCGUAACAAGGUAAC